rnacentral:lncRNA from 1 species
CGCGGUACGCCGGAGGAGUGGGCGCCGGGAUCUCGCUGAGCGUCCCCCUGGCCUCGUCUCUUCCUCGCUUGUCCGAGCUUCAGCACAGUCCGAGAUGGUAACGUGAGAGUGACGGCGGGCGGCUGCGGGCUGCAGGCUUCGAGCGGGUGGGGCCGCCGUCUCCUGUGCUUGGAGAGGCGGCGGCGAGUGGGAGCGUGCGGAGACGGGGUCGGGACGAGCGGAGGGAGGUGUUUUGUGAGCCCGGAGCUCCGGGCGGGAGGCGACGGUUGGGUGGCGCGCACGGCGCAGCCGGGAACCGGUGCGAGGGCGCGCAGCCGCGGCGGGCUCGCGGCAGGGGUCGGCGGGGGAGAGGGCGGGGGCGAGCGGCGGCCCGGGGACCCCGGCGGGCCGCGAGCGCGCGCUCGCCUCCUGGACGCGCUGCGGUGGGGGAGGGGCGCGCCGCCUUGGUAAUUCUAUCUUCUCCGUCCCUCCCGGGCUCGCGGGCGUCGGCGGCGCCGCAGGCUGGCGGUAAGGCUGGAAAGGACUCCGGAAAGGCCAAGACAAAGGCGGUUUCCCGCUCCCAGCGAGCGGGCUUGCAGGUGGGUAGCUGCUGCCGCAGUCGGGUGACCGGGCCUUUAUGUUUGCACCCCCUUGCUUGUUUGUCGGCACCCUGCAUGGGUGUUCCAUCUUUGCAUGAGUGAUGUGUCGCGACUUGGCCUACGGAGACUGUGAAUACUGGGGUUGGGGGGGUCGUCGAUCACAUGUGUUACUGCCAGGGCGCGUUGGUGCACCACCGCCGUGCUAGGCUUUGGCGCGCACAUCAUCUUUCUAUCUUUGAAUCUCCUAUCUUUGUGCAUUUUUUUUUGUUUGUGUGCAUAAAAAUCAAGUUCCCUGUGGGCCGUAUUCAUCGACACCUGAAAUCUAGGACAACAAGCCACGGACGUGUGGGCGCGACCGCAGCUGUGUACAGCGCAGCCAUCCUGGAGUACCUCACCGCAGAGGUAAGCGGGAGUACGCCUGUGAUCUGGAAAAGCUUUGGGGGGCGGGGGAAAGUGGCGAGAGGGAAGGAGGAAAGUGAUGCAAGAAAACUCCCAGGCCCUGAGCGCGGCGCGCAGACCUAGGGAUCGCUAGAGGGAGCUAGUGUUCAGCCAAGUUUGCUGCUCUUGCAAAUGCAAUUGCGUGCCCCUUCAAUCUUUUUUUUUUUUUCAUAAUUCUGCAUAAUUUUGUCAUUCAGGUAGUGAGGGGUGACAGCAGUUGGUAGAUAAACACCGUUGAGGUUUGUUCUGCUUUGCAGAUGUUGGAAGUAAGUUGGAAUACUGAUCAUCAGAUUUUUUUGCCUUUUAGGUACUUGAGUUGGCAGGAAAUGCAUCAAAAGACUUGAAGGUAAAGCGUAUUACCCCUCGUCACUUGCAACUUGCUAUCCGCGGAGAUGAAGAGUUGGACUCUCUGAUCAAGGCUACGAUUGCUGGUGGUG